rnacentral:lncRNA from 1 species
GCAUAAAUUGCAUAUGUUGUUAUUUAGUGUAACUCAGGCUAUGGCAGGCAAGUAACUAUCUGGCUUCAAGAGGAGCCAUUGCUCUUUCGCCCAUCGACUAUUUAUAGUUUUACCUCUGGGUUUAUUUAUAAGAUACAAUUUUGAAUAAAUGUAGUAAUUUCUGUGAAUAAUGUAUCUCUUGGUGAGCAAUAGUUCUCACAGUAAAGGAAAAUGUGCAUCUCUGUUUCUACCUCCCGUCGUGCAGCGAUCACAUACACAGCAGGUAGCCUAGUGGUUAGAGCGUUGGGCCAGUAACCAGCAGGUAGCCUAGUGGUUAGAGCGUUGGGCCAGUAACCAGCAGGUUGCCUAGUGGUUAGAGCGUUGGGACAGUAACCAGCAGAUAGCCUAGUGGUUAGAGCGUUGGGCCAGUAACCAGCAGGUAGCCUAGUGGUUAGAGCGUUGGGCCAGUAACCAGCAGGUAGUCUAGUGGUUAGAGCGUUGGGCCAGUAACCAGCAGGUAGCCUAGUGGUUAGAGCGUUGGGCCAGUAACCAGCAGGUAGUCUAGUGGUUAGAGCGUUGGGCCAGUAACCAGCAGGUAGCCUAGUGGUUAGAGCGUUGGGCCAGUAACCAGCAGGUAGCCUAGUGGUUAGAGCGUUGGGCCAGUAACCAGCAGGUAGCCUAGUGGUUAGAGCGUUGGGCCAGUAACCAGCAGGUAGCCUAGUGGUUAGAGCGUUGGGCCAGUAACAAGCAGGUAGCCUAGUGGUUAGAGCGUUGGGCCAGUAACCAGCAGGUAGCCUAGUGGUUAGAGCGUUGGACUAGUAACCAGCAGGUAGCCUAGUAGUUAGAGCUUUGGGCCAGUAUCCAGCAGGUAGCCUAGUGGUUAGAGCGUUGGGCCAGUAACCAGCAGGUGGCCUAGUGGUUAGAGCGUUGGGCCAGUAACCAGCAGGUAGCCUAGUGGUUAGAGCUUUGGGCCAGUAACCAGCAGGUAGCCUAGUGGUUAGAGUGGAGGGGUGGCAGGUAGCCUAGUGGUUAGAGCUUUGGGUCAGUAACCAGCAGGUAGCCUAGUGGUUAGAGUGUUGGGCCAGUAACCAGCAGGUAGCCUAGUGGUUAGAGCAUAGGGCCGGUAACCAGCAGGUAGUCUAGUGGUUAGAGCUUUGGGUCAGUAACCAGCAGGUAGCCUAGUGGUUAGAGCGUUGGGCCAGUAACCAGCAGGUAGCCUAGUGGUUAGAGCGUUGGGCCAGUAAACAGCAGGUAGCCUAGUGAUUAGAGCGUUGGGCCAGUAACCAGUAGGUAGACUAGUGGUUAGAGUGGAGGGGUGGCAGGUAGCCUAGUGGUUAGAGCGUUGGGUCAGUAACCAGCAGGUAGCCUAGUGGUUAGAGUGUUGGGCCAGUAACCAGCAGGUAGACUAGUGGUUAGAGCGUUGGGCCAGUAACCAGCAGGUAGCCUAGUGGCUAGAGCGUUGGGCCAGUAACCAGCAGGUUGCCUAGUGGUUAGAGUGUUGGGCCAGUAACCAGCAGGUAGUCUAGUGGUUAGAGUGUUGGACCAGUAACCAGCAGGUAGACUAGUGGUUAGAGCGUUGGGCCAGUAACCAGCAGGUAGCCUAGUGGUUAGAGCAUUGGGCCAGUAACCAGCAGGUAGCCUAGUGGUUAGAGUGGAGGGCCAAUAACCGAAAGGUUGCUUGAUCGAAUCCCUGAGCUGACAAGGUAAAAAUCAGUCGUUCUGCCCCUGAACAAGGCAGUUAACUCACUGUUCCUAGACUGUCAUUGUAAAUAACAAUUUGUUCUUAACUGAUUUGCCCUAGUUAAAUAAAAAAUACACACUCCUCUUUGGGUAGCCAUGUCUUUUUAUGUCUGCCGGUUUGUAUUGCCAAUCGGUGGUCACUCAGCCUGUCC